rnacentral:rRNA from 1 species
UCGUAACAAGGUUUCCGUAGGUGAACCUGCGGAAGGACCAUU